UAAAAAAAAGAACAGUGGUCUGUGAAACAAGCAGAACAAGAGCUGGAUUUCAAAGUGUUCUUGCAGUUCUUUUGACUUAUGGCAGAGCAGCCAUCACAUUUAUUCAUUUUGUUCAUUUACUUGCUGGCAUAAAUGAACGCUACUGACAGCAGUUGCUGGGAAGAGGACACAGCAUGCCCAGACACUGCAGACAAAUUCUAUAUUCUGCUCUGCCCAUUACAUUAUAAUGUUUGAAACUAAAGCUUCCCUAGAGCAGGGUUACACAAAAAUUGCUUUGGAUAGGGAACGAAGACACAUAGAUGCCUCCAGCUAGACCUGCAUCCACAAAAAUGUAAGCUAGCAGUUUAAUUACCAACAGUUUUAACACAGUGAGAUAUGCAGUUUUUUAAUUGAUCACACUGAGAUAAAACCAAUCGAUAAAAUAAAGAGCACACUUAGAAUAAACAAAAGGAUAACUUUGUAUAAAAUACAUUCUCAUUAGAAGAAAGUAUGCUGCUUCAAAACAAUCCCUGAGGUACCUUUGUGACUUGCAAUUUUUAAGCAAAGACAGUUCUGUGCAAAUUAGGGAAAGCAAAUCCUUAAAGAAAUAACCACAUCUGGCUGCCCCUCAAAGCUUGAUUGAAAUGAUUUCCAAAGUAGGAGAGGGAAGGCACAGCGGAAAGGAAAAAGAUCAGUAAUACUAAGAAAAAAAAUGUUGCUUUUGAGACAUCCUGCAGAAUGACAUUUCAAGUCAUUCGUACGUCUACACUUAGUUAAUGAUUAAUGUGGAACAUUCUGCCAGGAGCAUUUAUUAAAACCGCAUCUAUUAUAACCAUGGGGCAUCUAUCGUGCUGCAGGAAGAUUUAGGAGAAUUGAGAUCUGCUUCUGCUGCAUGUCCCAACAGAACAAGUUCUGCAAGCACUCCGAUCAGGCCUGCAGCACCCACUCUAGGCUAAGAGCACUGGACCCAAAGAGUUGAAGCAGUCCUUUGGUGCAGGCUGGCCAGGCCGUGGAUUUCUGCCCAAGGGCACUCAGCUUUGACUGGUGAGCCAAGACGAUCACUGGCCAACGGCUGUACAUGUGGACCCAAGAUAUGUGCAUGUAACAGUGCCACAAGCUAAGUAUGAGUUGAACAAUUCCACUCUUACCCCCUCUGUUUCGAAUGCCUGGGGCUGAUUACCCCUGGCAAUGCCAGGCCCAUCCAUCACACACACAGAGCUGCACCGGGCUAAUGAGAUGGGAACUAGCAGCAGUGUAACGAGACGGGAAAUCAAUGCUCCUGUUUCCAACAACACACUUGCUAUAAAAUUCUUCAGAGUAACUUUUGUUAACUCACAAAUCACAGAGCUUAAUAAUUGCUUCCAAAGCUGCGUUAAGACAUUACUCAAGCUCUUUCUGUACACGUGUAUAAGAAUGCAUCACAUAAGCAAACAGAACCUGGCCACUCCAGCCAUGCCGUGCUCCUGCCACGCUGUGUCUGUAACCCACAUGCACAUUGAUCCUCACGCGGACAUAAAGCACUAAUGGAUUUAGUAACCACCUGGAAAUUAACUGCGGUGCUUCACUGCUAUACGUCUCAAAUUAGAGCAGUUGUCUCAGGUACUGUGCGUUCUCAGUGCAGGAUUAAUCUUUGUUACACAGCUCACCAGCCUCAUUUCAAUUACUUUAGCAGUUUACUGCUGUAUAUGGGACCUUUGGGAAUGAUGAAAAUAUUGUUUGUGGGUUGUUUCCCUCCCCCGCCGCAGGUUCACCUUCAAGUUUUAGGAAACACAAUCCCUGAUGUCCCUCACAGAUGAGGAACUCCCCAUUUUAGGGGAAACCUUCCUGUUCAACACUGUGACCCACAUCUCUUUCUAGGGAUUAGGAUGACUAUCUGAGUUCCAGUGCUGAUCAGAGUGUGGGUGACAAGAAGGCUUGACCAAGGCAUCACCAAAGGAAGGACCCACAUGGUGGGACAACACCCCAAGGCACCCAGCCCAGGAACCAGCCAACAGCUCCAGCUGCCAGUGCUACAGAUGUCCUUGGCACAACCCUGGAACUGCAACCACAAUGACAAAGCAAAGCACAGCCUCAGCAGGAUCCAGAAUUAGGAGAUGGACAAAGACAACCUGCCAACACAUUUUUAUCAGAGCUUUCUGUUUAAGCAGUCUGUCAGGCUCUGAACGACACAGGGACAACCAGUGGGGACUGCAGGGAACAUGAAGGCAAGGGAUCAGAAUGGGGCAAGCAGGGCUGAGCCCAGCACCGUUGAGGAGCUCAUUGUGCCUGGUGCAGUUCCAGACCUUGGGAUGCUCACCUGCCUGGACUGUAGCUCUCAUCCCACUCCUGCCAGCACCAACAGACACCAAAAUCACAGCACUUCAGGUCCACUGCAAAGAAUCAAUCAAUACCAGGCUGAAAGCUCUGGCAUGUAAUGCAUCCUGGAGCGUCAGGAAGGGCUCUGCAUGAAGCGAGGAGGAGAUCAUCACAACUCUGUCCGACUCCAGAAGAUACACCAAGGGUAGAUGUUUCUGGUCAUCAGAUAAGUAGCACGCAACUCUUUUCUCAGUAACUUAAGUGCUGAUUCAUUGAAUAUUUUCUUGUCAGAAAACACUUCAUUUCCAGGUCCUUAUUUCCAGGUCAAAGUAACAUUCCUGUGUUUAUUUUGUACCUGGCACAUAACACCAAUCUAACCUGUAGGUCCAUUUCAGUGAGAUCACUUCCCAGAAUAAAGAUAUCAAAUUCUGGUUGCAAAAGUCAGAUAAUUAUUUGGGUUCUGAAACAACAAUGCUUUGGCAAACUCUUGAGAUUAAAAUAAAGAAAAAGAAGAGGAAAAAAGCUGCCUUUCAUUUUGCUCUCUAAACAGAAUCCACAAGAUACUUUUCAUCGAUUUCCUUGCUUUAGGCAAACACAUUGGGUUGUUAAAUGACAGAUUAACAAUGGAAGCACAAAAAUCCAAAAGUAAAUUUUUGUAUUGUUAUCCAAAGCAGUAACAACAUCUCCUCACCUUUUGGUACCAAGAUCUUGUAUGAAAAUAGAACUAAAACUACAGACUGUCAAACAAGCCAUCCAACUGCACUGAACAUGCAAUAUAUGUGAUUUAUUUUCCCAUUAUCCACAUUCUUUGUAUUUUAUUUAUUACCCAGCAGAAAGUAAUGAAAUUGUGAGAUACAGACAAGAAUCUCCGUGGGAAGAGAUCAGUGUGGAUGUUUGGAAGUUAGUUAAUCUCAGAAAAAUAGCUAUGCCUUGAGAGAAACCUGAAAUUACUGAUCUUAAAAGUCCUAAGAAGACAAAGAACAACUGCGCCACGUCCAAGGCAUCAAAGAAAACAGUAUCAGAUAUUUCACGUGGGCAGCACUCAAAAAUUUAUCCCUUGCAGUACCAAUAAAGUAGGUUGAAAUGUGGACAGGAUCAAGGUGAAGGUCUUAUCUGACAAAUACAAACCUUCAGAGGAAAGUAGGUUAAAAAAAAAGAAAACAGUUGCAAAAUUUAGUUUCAUCUUGAAAUAUAAUACAUUCAGAAAUGAUUUUGUUCUAACAUAUUGGAUUCUGUUACUGCUCAAGGACGUUAAGAUUUAAUGCCUUCAAUAAAGAGGCAGACAUUCUUUUUGCCUCCUUGGAAACACAGAAGUCUUACUAUGAGCCCUGAAAACCACGUUUGUUUUCUUUCUGGUUCAGGUCAAACUCACCAGUUUCUGCAGAAACUGUACUGCUCUUACAGGAAGCGAAAUGAAGACUCAGCUGUGUAACUGCAGUGUUUGUAUACAGAGUUUCCCACUGCAUGCUGGUUUACAUAUGUAUUUUUUAAUACAUGCAAAUAAUUAACACUGAUUUUAAUGACUGCCUUCUCCUUUAUGUCCAGAUGAGCAGUUACAAGACAAAUGCCUUCAUCUCCUCUUGCUGUAAGGACUAACUCAAAGUAAAGCAAGGGUGUGAAAAAGCAAAGGAACGCAGGAGAAACAAGCACUGCACAAAGCCAGCUGCAGUUU